rnacentral:rRNA from 1 species
CCUACGGGAGGCAGCAGUGGGGGAUAUUGCACAAUGGGGGAAACCCUGAUGCAGCGACGCCGCGUGGGUGAAGAAGCGUUUCGGCUCGUAAAGCCCUGUCGUCAGGGAAGAAAAUGACGGUACCUAACCAAGAAGCCCCGGCAAACUACGUGCCAGCAGCCGCGGUAAGACGUAGGGGGCAAGCGUUAGCCGGAUUUACUGGGUGUAACGGGGGCGCGGACGGGAAGGCAAGCCAGAAGUGAAAGCCUGCGGCUUAACCGGGGGACUGCGCUUGAAACGGCAUGGCUUGUGUGCAGGAGAGGCAGGCGGAAUUCCUAGUGUAGCGGUGAAAUGCGUAGAUAUUAGGAGGAACACCGGUGGCGAAGGCGGCCUGCUGGACUGUGACUGACGUUGAGGCUCGAAGGCGUGGGGAGCAAACAGGAUUAGAUACCCUAGUAGUC